rnacentral:rRNA from 1 species
AUUGAACGCUGGCGGCAGGCCUAACACAUGCAAGUCGAACGAAUGGCGGCCGGGUGAGUAAUGUCUGGGAAACUGCCCGGUGGAGGGAGAUAACUACUGGAAACGGUAGCUAAUACCGCAUACCAUCGGAUGUGCCCAGAUGGGUUUAGCUAGUAGGUGGGGUAACGGCUCACUUAGGCGACGCUCCCUAGCUGGUCUGAGAGGAUGACCAGCAACACUGGAACUGAGAAACGGUCCAUACUCCUACGGGAGGAAGCAGUGUGGAAUAUUGCACAAUGGGCGCAAGCCUGAUGCAGCCAUGCCGGGUGUAUGAAGAAGGCCUUCGGGUUGUAAAGUACUUUCAGCGAGGAGGCGUUACUCGCAGAAGAAGCACCGGCUAACUCCGGGCCAGCAGCCGCGGUAAUAC